rnacentral:rRNA from 1 species
UACAGAGGUCCCAAGCGUUGUUCGGAUUCACUGGGCGUAAAGGGUGCGUAGGUGGUGAGGUAAGUCGGAUGUGAAAGCUCGGAGCUCAACUCCGAAAUGGCAUUGGAAACUACCUUGCUCGAGGGUUGGAGGGGGGACUGGAAUACUUGGUGUAGCAGUGAAAUGCGUAGAUAUCGAGAGGAACACCAGUGGCGAAGGCGAGUCCCUGGACAACACCUGACACUGAGGCACGAAAGCUAGGGGAGCAAACAGG